rnacentral:sRNA from 1 species
UUGGAACAUCAAACAACAUAUAUUCCAGCGCUUACACCUGUAUUUCGAGCGUAAGGACUUUUGGCCAGUAAAUGCUUUAAUUUGACCCAUAGUGCUGUAGUGCAAUUCUCUAAAUUCUCUCUUUAUCGAACCAACAAACCAAAAAUCGGUUGAAUUAACGAUUAGGAAGAAAGUUCGAUGCCCUAGAACAACUCCAGCGCUGUACUCUGUCCUUACAAAGCGCCUAGGGGCAUCGCAUAUCCUGCAUAAGUGUGUCUCUCCCUACGUCCACCGGGACGCAAGCUGUCGUUGCAUAAACAUUGUAUCACUUAUAUGUAUUAGCAAUCCGAAGUCAUGGUUCUUCAACCCCAGGGUAAGCGACAUCCUGUUUUGCAAUAUACUCCGUCACAAGGCAUUUACCAUCCGGAACCCAGAGCACUAAACGACGUCUCAAUCGCGCGGCCAUCGUAGAAGGUGUCAGCUCUACCAAGGAAUUUGCACAGGGGAAGUCUUAUCGAUUCCAUAGCAUGUUCUACGUCUAUCAGCGAUCCGGCCGGACAACAAAAAUUUCCUUAUAUAUAUUGAAUUAUUUCUUUAAAAUUAAUUGUUUGAGUAAUAAAUUGUUCAUUAUAAACGUCUUUAUUUUUCCCGAUAUCGA